rnacentral:rRNA from 1 species
GGUCAAGUGAAGAAGCGCAUACGGUGGAUGCCUUGGCAGUCAGAGGCGAUGAAAGACGUGGUAGCCUGCGAAAAGCUUCGGGGAGUCGGCAAACAGACUUUGAUCCGGAGAUCUCUGAAUGGGGGAACCCACCUAGGAUAACCUAGGU